rnacentral:piRNA from 1 species
AUGUAGAACAUCACAGAAAAGGAG